UACGUAGGGGGCAAGCGUUGUCCGGAUUUAUUGGGCGUAAAGAGCGUGUAGGCGGCUAGAUAGGUCCGUUGUGAAAACUCGAGGCUCAACCUCGAGACGCCGAUGGAAACCAUCUAGCUAGAGUCCGGAAGAGGAGAAUGGAAUUCCUGGUGUAGCGGUGAAAUGCGCAGAUAUCAGGAAGAACACCCGUGGCUAAGGCGGUUCUCUAGUACGGUACUGACGCUGAGGCACGAAAGCGUGGGGAGCAAACAGG
rnacentral:rRNA from 1 species